GACGAACGCUGGCGGCGUGCCUAAUACAUGCAAGUAGGACGCUGAAGGAGGAGCUUGCUUCUCUGGAUGAGUUGCGAACGGGUGAGUAACGCGUAGGUAACCUGCCUGGUAGCGGGGGAUAACUAUUGGAAACGAUAGCUAAUACCGCAUAAGAGUAGAUGUUGCAUGACAUUUGCUUAAAAGGUGCAAUUGCAUCACUACCAGAUGGACCUGCGUUGUAUUAGCUAGUUGGUGGGGUAACGGCUCACCAAGGCGACGAUACAUAGCCGACCUGAGAGGGUGAUCGGCCACACUGGGACUGAGACACGGCCCAGACUCCUACGGGAGGCAGCAGUAGGGAAUCUUCGGCAAUGGACGGAAGUCUGACCGAGCAACGCCGCGUGAGUGAAGAAGGUUUUCGGAUCGUAAAGCUCUGUUGUAAGAGAAGAACGAGUGUGAGAGUGGAAAGUUCACACUGUGACGGUAUCUUACCAGAAAGGGACGGCUAACUACGU
rnacentral:rRNA from 1 species